CGAGUUCCAUGUCAUCCGCGUGAGAAGAUAACGCAACGAAGGCAGAAUCGCAUCAAACUUCUCCAAGUGAUUCUUCAUCACGAAACCUAGCCACUCCUCCCUCUCCGAAUCGCCGAACGCGCCUCCCUCUCCGAAUCGCCGAAGCACCCCCCUCCUUCGCCCCCCUCGCGGCGAAUACACCUCUCGUAGAGAAGCUACGAGACCGGACCUACGACUCUCUCUCGUAGCGAGCCCUCUUCUACCGCGAACUCUCCGAUCCCUCGCCGCGAGCUUUCCCUUGCCGCAAGCCCUCUCUCAACCGGCAAGCUCUCCCUCUCCGCGAGCCCUCUCCUUCCUAUGCCUCUCCACUCACCGACGAACUAGGGCAUCAUUAUCCGCUCCUCUCAUUUAGUGCUGCAGGAAGUUCAUUUGGAUCAUACUUUCUUCUCAGAUUCAUUUGGAGCAGCAUUGCCCCAAGCCUAGCCUCAUGUGUCUUGUGUCGCUACCGUGGAGGUACAAGAUGUCGGUUCCAUGGCCCAAGAGCAAAGACAUGGUGAGAUUGAUUCUUGGAUAGUUUCUCGUUGCUUCCGAUUCCCGUGUUGACUCGUACUGAUCUGUAAAGGAGGAACGUGCUACCACUUUGAGAAGAAUAUGUCAACAGAUUUGGUAUGAUAAUGUUCCUCGCACCAAACUCGUUGAAUAUAAGAAAGACCAAAACUGAGUACGGAGGUGUUUAAUUACUUGGUUUUCCUUCUUAGUGGAACUCAAUUUAAAGAUGGUGUUUCUAAAUACAUCGAGUUCAUCGAGCAAAAUCUUCUAGCCAUCAAUGGGGGAGGGCACACAAGGGGUCCUUGAUGUUGGUUGUGGUGUUGCAAGCUUUGGUGGAUAUUUAGGGGAUAGGAUCCGAUACAAUUUGCAUUAGAGUGUGAUAUUCCAACCUUUUUAUCAGUAAUUGGACUCAGAAGCUGUCAUUUCCUAACAAUGUAUUUGAUUUGAUUCAAUGUUCACUGUGUAUAGUCCACUGGGAUGCAGAUGGUGGGAAGCCAUUGGAGCUCAAUAGGAUUCUUAGACCUGGAGGUUUCUUUGUUUGGUCUACAACACAUGUUUACCGCUAAUGAGAGGGACCAAAGCAUCUGGAAGUGUAGUGACAUUUGUCAAUUUCUUUAAAUUUCGUGACCUCCUUUGUCAUCAGCAAGACUACAUGGCUUUCGGGAGCUAUACUAUCUUAAAUUAUUAUCUAGCACCCUUUUAAAUUUUUGUCUGGAUCUCCUACUGACAUUGACUACUUGACGCAAACUUGGUUUGUAAAUGGUUAAAUGUUGUAAUUCUAGAUAUAAACUUGGUUUGUUAAUUUAUAUCAUUAAACACGGUUGAAUAAUGUUGGUGUUGUAAUUGUGGUAUGAUAAUGUUGUUGUAGCUUUCAAUAUAUUUGACGAUCUUGUCAGUUUGAUCC